CUUUCUCCCUUCCCCUGUCUUCCUGCCUCUGCCGCUCCGCCUUUCCGCUUCCUGCCGCUGGGUUACGGCUGGCACGGUACUUCCAGCUGGGGGGAAUUUCCCGGCGGGAGCCGCAGUUCUCCAGAUGGCUUCUUUUGGGUGGAAGAGAAAGAUCGGUGAGAAAGUUUCAAGAGCCACUUCUCAGCAAUUUGAAGCAGAAGCUGCGGAUGAGAAGGAUCUGGCUGGCGAUGAUGAUGCUAACUGGGUGCAUGCGACUAAAAGA